AUGGGGUGACUGCGUACCUUUUGUAUAAUGGGUCAGCGACUUAUAUUCUGUAGCGAGGUUAACCGUAUAGGGGAGCCGUAGGGAAACCGAGUCUUAACUGGGCGAAUGAGUUGCAGGGUAUAGACCCGAAACCCGGUGAUCUAUCCAUGGGCAGGUUGAAGGUUGGGUAACACUAACUGGAGGACCGAACCGACUAAUGUUGAAAAAUUAGCGGAUGACUUGUGGAUGGGGGUGAAAGGCCAAUCAAACCGGGAGAUAGCUGGUUCUCCCCGAAAGCUAUUUAGGUAGCGCCUCGUGAACUCAUCUUCGGGGGUAGAGCACUGUUUCGACUAGGGGGUCAUCCCGACUUACCAACUCGAUGCAAACUGCGAAUACCGAAGAAUGUUAUCACGGGAGACACACGGCGGGUGCUAACGUCCGUCGUGAAGAGGGAAACAACCCAGACCGCCAGCUAAGGUCCCAAAGUCAUGGUUAAGUGGGAAACGAAGUGGGAAGGCUCAGACAGCCAGGAUGUUGGCUUAGAAGCAGCCAUCAUUUAAAGAAAGCGUAAUAGCUCACUGGUCGAGUCGGCCCGCGCGGAAGAUGUAACGGGGCUAAACCAUGCACCGAAGCUGCGGCAGCGACACAUAGUGUUGUUGGGUAGGGGAGCGUUCUGUAAGCCUGCGAAGGUGUACUGUGAGGUAUGCUGGAGGUAUCAGAAGUGCGAAUGCUGACAUAAGUAACGAUAAUGCGGGUGAAAAACCCGCACGCCGGAAGACCAAGGGUUCCUGUCCAACGUUAAUCGGGGCAGGGUGAGUCGACCCCUAAGGCGAGGCUGAAAAGCGUAGUCGAUGGGAAACGGGUUAAUAUUCCCGUACUGGUGGUAACUGCGAUGGGGGAACGGAGAAGGCUAGGUUGUCCGGGCGACGGUCGUCCCGGUUCAAGCAGGUAGGCAGAGUGAUUAGGCAAAUCCGGUCACUUAAUGCUGAGAUGUGAUGACGAACCACCAAGGUGGUGAAGCAAUUGAUGCCCCGCUUCCAGGAAAAGCCUCUAAGCUUCAGGUUACCAACAAUCGUACCCCAAACCGACACAGGUGGUCAGGUAGAGAAUACUCAGGCGCUUGAGAGAACUCGGGUGAAGGAACUAGGCAAAAUGGUGCCGUAACUUCGGGAGAAGGCACGCUGGCGGUAGGUAAAGUCCCUCGCGGACGGCGCUGAAGCCAGUCGAAGAUACCAGCUGGCUGCAACUGUUUAUUAAAAACACAGCACUGUGCAAACACGAAAGUGGACGUAUACGGUGUGACGCCUGCCCGGUGCUGGAAGGUUAAUUGAUGGGGUUAGCGUAAGCGAAGCUCCUGAUCGAAGCCCCAGUAAACGGCGGCCGUAACUAUAACGGUCCUAAGGUAGCGAAAUUCCUUGUCGGGUAAGUUCCGACCUGCACGAAUGGCGUAAUGAUGGCCAGGCUGUCUCCACCCGAGACUCAGUGAAAUUGAACUCGCUGUGAAGAUGCAGUGUACCCGCGGCAAGACGGAAAGACCCCGUGAACCUUUACUAUAGCUUGACACUGAACAUUGAGCCUUGAUGUGUAGGAUAGGUGGGAGGCUUUGAAGUGUGGACGCCAGUCUGCAUGGAGCCAACCUUGAAAUACCACCCUUUAACGUUUGAUGUUCUAACCUAGGCCCAUAAACUGGGUCGGGGACCGUGUCUGGUGGGUAGUUUGACUGGGGCGGUCUCCUCCUAAAGAGUAACGGAGGAGCACGAAGGUUGGCUAAGCAUGGUCGGACAUCAUGCGGUUAGUGCAAAGGCAUAAGCCAGCUUGACUGCGAGAGUGACGGCUCGAGCAGGUACGAAAGUAGGUCUUAGUGAUCCGGUGGUUCUGAAUGGAAGGGCCAUCGCUCAACGGAUAAAAGGUACUCCGGGGAUAACAGGCUGAUACCGCCCAAGAGUUCAUAUCGACGGCGGUGUUUGGCACCUCGAUGUCGGCUCAUCACAUCCUGGGGCUGAAGUAGGUCCCAAGGGUAUGGCUGUUCGCCAUUUAAAGUGGUACGCGAGCUGGGUUUAGAACGUCGUGAGACAGUUCGGUCCCUAUCUGCCGUGGGCGUUGGAAGAUUGAGAGGGGUUGCUCCUAGUACGAGAGGACCGGAGUGAACGCACCACUGGUGUUCGGGUUGUCAUGCCAAUGGCAUUGCCCGGUAGCUAAGUGCGGAAGAGAUAACCGCUGAAAGCAUCUAAGCGGGAAACUUGCCUCGAGAUGAGUCUUCCCUGUCGCUUUAAGCGACCUAAAGGAACGUUUAAGACUAAGACGUUGAUAGGCUGGGUGUGUAAGCGUAGCGAUACGUUGAGCUAACCAGUACUAAUGAACCGUGAGGCUUAACCUGACAACACCGAAAGUGUUUUG
rnacentral:rRNA from 1 species